GCGGGUACAAGACCCCAGGGUUCAAUCCCUAGUACUAAAAAAAUAAAAAAUCAAAUGCAUGAAUUCAAUAACCAGCACCCCCAUUCCCCUUUCAUAAAAAAGAAUUUCAAGACUAAUUUUAUUCAUACAAGUAUUAUUUACAUCUUUACAUGACUUUAGAAUCUAACAUGCAAACGAAAUGAGACUAUUGUAAAAUUCCUGUCCUUGUUUUUGCCUUGAUAUAGUUGCUAUAAUUACAGGGAAAGAGACAUGCACCUUAGCCCCCACCCUUCCACCCAGAGUUACUAUAGCAUCUUGCAGCUGUGGAAAAUAUCCUGAGUACAGUUCUCAAAAAGGCUUCCUUGGCCCUAAUUUCUCUAAAUACCAUCAGCUUUCCACCUUUUCAUGAGAUACUUACCAUCAAUAGGUCCAUUUUGCAGCUUAACACUGAAUAACUGCCUUUCUCUUUUAGAUGUUCCUUUGGCAGAGUCUAUUUAGGCAGUAUCUUUUAUGAAUUCCACAUGUAAAAUUUCUGUCUCUGGUAUUCCUCCCAAUUCCAUGUACUUCCCUAAAUGUUUCAUUAUAUUCCUGGUACUACAGUUUGAAUUCUUUCUUUUUUGAGAAACCACAGACACAGGUUAGUGUAAUUGUAACAGAUUUAAAGAUACCCUGAUGCCAACUCAUAGGCAGUUUUAUUAGAGACAGAUGAUGGCAUUUGUUUCAUUGGUAGGAUGAGGGUGAUGCCCUCUGCAAACACAAUACUUAGUGGAGGGUAAGUUUGGAAAGUAUAUUUGUUAUUUUUUCUGUUACAAACCACCCCAAGACCUAAUGGCUUAAAAUAACACUUAUUUCUCCUAAGUCUACUGCCUGCCUGGGUGUUUCUGCUGAUCUGAACAGGUCUGGCUGAUCUUAGCUGGGCUUGCUCACAUAUAUCUGAUCAGUUGGCUGAUUAGCCAGCAAGACUGUUUUCUCUACACGUCAUACAUCUCUGCAGCCACUCUCACAUCCUAGGCAGCCAGCCUGGUAAUGCCUUGGAGUGUGGCAGAGGUGCAUGAGUAAGCAAGCCCAGCAAUGCAAGGAAACAAGGAAAAACACAUACACACUUAUGCUGACAGCAUCUUUGCUAACAUACCAUUGGCCAAAGAAAGUGACAUGGCCAAGCCCAUGGGAGGGGACUACAAAGUUACAGAAUAUAGAAAAGCUAUUAAUCGGGGCCAAAAUGCAAUUAGUCUUUCAGUUAGGUCCCCUCUAUGUGAAACUUUCAGACUUAGAUUACUUGAUCAAGUUUUUCUAGAAGGGGAAUAAAAAGGCCAAGUAAUGGUUGUGUAUUGGGCCUAUGGGCCUGCACAGGGCUAGGCACUUUACCUGCUUUUGCAACAACCCUCACAACAAUUCUGCAAGGUAGGUAGGAAUUAAAGUUCAGAGAAGUUAAAUAACUUGCUCGAGGUCAUCCUCCUAGUGGGCAGGAAUUAGAAUGCAUGUCCAUCUGACCCCAAAAUCCAGGUUCUAUGUAUCAUCAUCACUGCCUCUCAAGAGUACCAUGGUUGAGCCAGGCAAAGUGCACAUUCCUGUAAUCCCAGCAGCUCAGGAGGCUGGUGCAGGAGGAUCAAAGUCAGCCUCAGCAACUUAGUGAGACCCUGUCUCAAAAUAAAAAAUACAAAGGACUAGGGAUGUGGCUCAGUGAUUAUGUGUCCCUGGGUUCAAUCCCUGGUACUGCCCCCCAAAAAGGAAGUAAGUUCCAGGGUCUGCCUUAACCUCCCUGCCAACAUAAAUUUUCAGUUGAGUUGAUGCUUUCUGACAAGUUCUACAAACCCCUUCUCUAAAAUGUUGCUGUGAUCCUAAAGGAAUUGUGCGACUCUCCUGAAAACCCACACAUUCUCCCAAGUUCUCUGUCGACUUAAAGCAUGCUUUCCUUCCAGAUGAGGAUUGGUCUGUAGGCUGCACAGGCAUCCCCAGAAUUGUGACCUCUCCUGAACAUGCCAGAGAGAGAAGGGCUGUCUUUAACCUUUGAAAUUCAGGGACAUCAGGGUAUUAGAACAUUUGAGCAUGAGCUUUGGAAUCAGAUUCCCUGAAGUUCAACCAUUCAUUAGCUCUGUAACCUUGGGCAACUCAUUUAACUUCUUAAAAUAUAUUUCUUCAUUUAAAAGGGGGAAAAAUGGGAGUAAGAACACCUCGUUUGCAGAGCUGUUAUAAGGACUAAAUCUAAAUUAUGUCUAUAAAGUGCCUAACACCGUGCCUGGUAUGUAAUAAGUGGCAUUAUUAGUACUGUUAGUGUUAUUUCUAAGG
rnacentral:lncRNA from 1 species